rnacentral:rRNA from 1 species
UACGUAGGGUGCGAGCGUUGCCCGGAUUUAUUGGGCGUAAAGGGCGCGUAGGCGGUCUUCUAAGUCAGACGUGAAAUCCCCAGGCUUAACUUGGGAACUGCGUCUGAUACUGGGAGGCUUGAGUGCGGGAGAGGGAUGUGGAAUUCCAGGCGUAGCGGUGAAAUGCGUAGAUAUCUGGAGGAACACCGGUGGCGAAGGCGGCAUCCUGGACCGACACUGACGCUGAGGCGCGAAAGCUAGGGGAGCAAACGGG